rnacentral:rRNA from 1 species
UACGAAGGGGGCUAGCGUUGUUCGGAAUUACUGGGCGUAAAGCGUUUGUAGGCGGUUAUUUAAGCCAGUGGUGAAAGCCCGGGGCUUAACCCCCGGAAUUGCCAUUGGUACUGGAUAGCUAGAGAAUGUUAGAGGAAAGUGGAAUUCCUAGUGUAGGAGUGAAAUCCGUAGAGAUUAGGAGGAAUAUCGAUGGCGAAGGCAGCUUUCUGGGACAUUUCUGACGCUGAGAAACGAAAGCGUGGGUAGCAAACAGG